UACGGAGGUUGCAAGCGUUGUUCGGAAUGACUGGGCGUAAAGGGAGCGCAGCCGGCUCGAUUAGUCUGGAGUGAAAGCCCGGGGCUUAACCCCGGAGGGUCUUCGGAUACUGUCGAGCUCGAGUACGGAAGAGGAGAGUGGAAUUCCAGGUGUAGCGGUGAAAUGCGUAGAUAUCUGGAGGAACACCGGUGGCGAAAGCGGCUCUCUGGUCCGAUACUGACGGUCAGGCUCGAAAGCGUGGGGAGCAAAC
rnacentral:rRNA from 1 species